rnacentral:rRNA from 1 species
CGGGUGAGUAACACGUGGAUAACCUGCCUAUAAGACUGGGAUAACCUCGGGAAACCGGAGCUAAUAACCGGAUAAUAUUUUGAACCGCAUGGUUCAAAAGUGAAAGACGGUCUUGCUGUCACUUAUAGAUGGAUCCGCGCUGCAUUAGCUAGUUGGUAAGGUAACGGCUUACCAAGGCAACGAUGCAUAGCCGACCUGAGAGGGUGAUCGGCCACACUGGAACUGAGACACGGUCCAG